UACAGAGGGGCAAGCGUUGUUCGGAAUUACUGGGCGUAAAGGGCGCGUAGGCGGCCUUCUAAGUCGAACGUGAAAUCCCCGGGCUCAACCCGGGAACUGCGUCCGAGACUGGAAGGCUCGAAUCCGGGAGAGGGAUGUGGAAUUCCAGGUGUAGCGGUGAAAUGCGUAGAUAUCUGGAAGGAACAUCGGUGGCGAAGGCGGCAUCCUGGACCGGUAUUGACGCUGAGGCGCGAAGCCAGGGAGCA
rnacentral:rRNA from 1 species